rnacentral:lncRNA from 1 species
CAAAUAUUAAUUGGGAGCCUUAAAAUGUGGCGCAAUUUUAGGCUAUAAAAUUAGCCACAUAUGGUUUGGUACAUAUUUGGUAACGAAAACAUGGAAUAUGCGGGUAAUAACCAAACAAGGCACAAUAAUAAUAAGAAGGUUUACUAUAUGGGAUAUAUAUGUAAAAAUCCCAUUAAACUAUCGUUGAAACUCAUGCUAAUGAUAUGUUGAAUUAAAACUCAUACAUUAAUUUGUUUUGAAGUAAUCUUUUUUGCACCAAAAAAGAAGAAGUGAUAUGCUAGUAGAAAAUUGCAUUCUAAAGAAGAAAAGGCGAAAAAAUAUAUCAUGUACAAUAAAUAAUAAACAAAAAAUGAGCAGAAGAGAAUUGCAAAAAUAACUAUUUUAAUAAUAGUUAAAUAAGACAAGGAAGUUCAUGUUCAAAGCAGUAGAAAAAAAUAGUUUACAGUGUGUGGGAGAUUGGGAUCAAACCUGGGUCUUAAAAGAAAGUUUGAACCACCUUAGACCACCAAGAUAAG